rnacentral:piRNA from 1 species
CUUGCCAAAGACACUUAGAAAG